rnacentral:rRNA from 1 species
GACGAAGGGGGCUAGCGUUGUUCGGAAUUACUGGGCGUAAAGCGCGUGUAGGCGGUUGUCCAAGUUGGAUGUGAAAGCCUUGAGCUCAACUCAAGAAAUGCAUUCAGGACUGGGCGACUAGAGGGCCGGAGAGGAUAGUGGAAUUCCCAGUGUAGUGGUGAAAUACGUAGAGAUUGGGAAGAACACCAGUGGCGAAGGCGGCUAUCUGGACGGUUUCUGACGCUAAGACGCGAAAGCGUGGGGAGCAAACAGG